UUUGUUUUCAUGCUCCAGAUAACUCUGAAGUUUUCAGUGCCCUUUGCAGUCCAGUUCCACUAAGCCAAACAAGCCAAGGUGCUUUAGGCAGAUACUUCUUCUGAAUUUCCAGCAGUGAACCAGGAGGCCCUGCAAGUCACCUGCAGAGAGUGUGUCUGACUCCAGAAAGCGGCUGCAACAAGAACUGAAAAACAAACCAAGUGAAAUAAACAUGCCCUGUGCGGGGAACAGCAGCUCACAGCUGUGCAUUUAGCAACGAGUUCCCAGCUGGAACGGUACACUUCUCACCCCUGAGGGCACAGCGAGAUGUUCACAGAUCCAGCAGGACUUCCAACAGCAGCCAGCCCAGCGGCACCGCUCUGCUGUGGGACCGCUCCUUCACAGACGGACCAGAGACUUCGAGAUGUGAGUCUGAUCCACAGAAUGCACUGCACCUCACAAAUGAGGUGAACGUGCUGUUGGUUUGGCUGCUGACUGGGCUUCCCAUGGCGGAGCGUGGGAGCCUGGUCUGUGUGGCAGCAGGGAGCCCUCCCUCCAACAGAAAAGGGAUUUCUAACCCAGGGAGGGAAGGAGAUGGAAGCGCAGAUAACUGCAUCGGAUUUCUUUACUCUCUGUUUUUCCAACAGUGGCAGAAGUCUCUCUCUUCAGCUCAUGAGCAGUCCCUGUAGAAGUGGAUUAAUAUACAGCACACAGCGGGUGGUAGAAAGCAAAAUCCUUUACAAGGUUUACCCGUGCUGGUCAGAAAUAUAUUCACAAGGAGUAGAAAUCAUUAUUCUCCUGGGAGUCCUCGGGUAGGAAACGAGUUUAUCAUUUGCUAGCAAAUGAUUUCGACCUUUUUGGCAAAGGUUAGAGGACAAAGAUAUAUUAACUGAAGUAAUUUAAGUCAAGUGUAAAGUAGCAAAGAGUUACAUGGCCUUGGGGAAGAAUCUAAAGACUUAGCUGCUGAAGACGUUGCCGCAUUUGAAAGCAAGGAGUGUUUCAGUAUUCUUUUUUUUAGAACAAAAUGAUCACCAACAAUUUAUGAAGUUUUACCUGCAUGAGACUGGAACGCUUUAAACCUCUUAAUAAAAUUUAUUGCCAAC
ensembl:lncRNA